rnacentral:rRNA from 1 species
GACGUAGGUGGCGAACGUUAUCCGGAAUUAUUGGGCGUAAAGGGUGCGUAGAUGGUGUAAUAAGUUAUCAGCGGUAAAUCGGGGCUCAACCUCGUGGAAGUCGGUAAUAACUGUUAUACUUGAGUGCAGGAGAGGUUAACGGAACUCCAUGUGGAGCGGUAAAAUGCGUAGAUAUAUGGAAGAACACCAAUAACGGCGAAGGCAGUUAACUAUUCUGUUACUGACAUUGAGGCACGAAAGCGUGGGGAGCAAAAGG